rnacentral:tRNA from 1 species
GCCUGGGUAGCUCAGUCAGUUGAACAUAGGACUCCUGAUCUCUGAGUCAUGAGUUCAAGCCCCAUCUUAGGCA